UAGUCCUAUUGAUGGCAUUCGUAUCAUUAAAAACACUAGGACUGGCAUUAACAAAGGGUUUGCUUAUGUUAAAUUCAAGGACAGCAGCUCUGUCUUAUUGGCUUGCAAGAAAAACAAAAGAAUUAAACUAGAGGGAUAGAAACUAAGAAUCUUUCGCUGUUGCAGCGAUAAAUCAAAGUUCCAGACUAAAUUUGGAGGAGCCAAUGAGCAUGAUUGCAGGCAACUGGUGAAGGACUUAAGGAAACAAUUGGUUGAAGUGAAAAGAGAAAAAGAAGAACAAAUCACAAAAUUAGAUGAAGAUGUUGCUCACUGCAAGGAUCAGUUACAAGAACUUAAAGCUCGCACCGAACUACUUAAUAAAUACAUUAAAAAACAAUCAGACGUCAAAGUUCAGUGCAGUCAGAGACAGCAGCAGAAUAAAGAGUCUGACCUUUAUAACGAGAGGGAGAGACUGAAACAAGAACUAGCAAAAGAGAAGAGAGCACAUGCUGAGAUUGAAAACUACCUCAAGAAACACAUUGAAGAUCUUGAUGGUAAGGUUUAGUACUGGAUGUCAAAGUAUGAAGAAGACUUGGAAAUGAAGACCACUGAAGUACAAGAGACUAAGUCAGCCAAAGCAGCAGGACUACAGAAACUGGACGAACUAUCACAAACUUAUAUGGAGAGGGAGGAGGUUGUGAUUGAGCACAGAGCAAUGAAGGAGAGACAAAGACUCAAAGAAGAACAAGAGAAGAAAGAAAACACGACAGCAACCAAACUACAGGCCUGGUGGAGAGGUAUGAUGGUUAGGAAGGGAAUGGGUCCUUUAAGAAAGGGAGUAAGAAGAAAGGAAAGAAGGGAGGCAAGAAAGGAAAGUCAAACAAAAAAUAAAAACAACUAUAAC